rnacentral:misc_RNA from 1 species
GAUGAAGAACGUAGUGAAAUGCGAUAAGUAGUGUGAAUUGCAGAAUUCAGUGAAUCAUCGAAUCUUUGAACGCACAUUGCGCCCCUUGGUAUUCCAUGGGGCAUGCCUGUUCGAGCGUCAUUUGUACCUUCAAGCUCUGCUUGGUGUUGGGUGUUUGUCUCGCCUCUGCGUGUAGACUCGCCUCAAAACAAUUGGCAGCCGGCGUAUUGACUUCGGAGCGCAGUACAUCUCGCGCUUUGCACUCAUAACGACGACGUCCAAAAGUACAUUUUUACACUCUUGACCUCGGAUCAGGUAGGGAUACCCGCUGAACUUAAGCAUAUCAAUAAGCGGAGGA